GAAAUGCGAUAAGUAAUGUGAAUUGCAGAAUUCAGUGAAUCAUCGAAUCUUUGAACGCACAUUGCGUCCGCCAGUAUUCUGGCGGGCAUGCCUGUUCGAGCGUCAUUUCAACCAUCAAGCCCCCGGCUUGUGUUGGGGACCUGCGGCUGCCCGCAGGCCCUGAAAAACAGUGGCGGGCUCGCUGUCACACCGAGCGUAGUAGCAUACAUUCUCGCUCAGGGCGUGCUGCGGGUUCCGGCCGUUAAACGACCUUCAUAACCCAAGGUUGACCUCGGAUCAGGUAGGAAGACCCGCUGAACUUAAGC
rnacentral:misc_RNA from 1 species